GCACUUGCUUCAGCAGUACAUACACUAAAAUUGGAAUGAUACAGAGAAGAUUAGCAUGGCCCCUGUGCAAGGAUGACAUGCAAAUUUGUGAAGCAUUCCAUAUUUUU
rnacentral:snRNA from 1 species